rnacentral:rRNA from 1 species
UACAGAGACCUCAAGCGUUAUCCGGAUUUAUUGGGCGUAAAGAGCGUGUAGGCGGAUUUGUUAGUCAGAUGUCAAAUCUCCGAGCUUAACUCGGAAACUGCAUUUGAAACGGCAAAUCUUGAGGAAGUGAGAGACCAGUAGAACGUAUGGUGUAGCAGUGAAAUGCGUUGAUAUCAUACGGAAUACCAAAGGCGAAGGCAUCUGGUGGGCACUUUUCUGACGCUGAGACGCGAAAGCGUGGGUAGCGAACGAG